AUGCCCACUGAUUAUAAAAAGACACGUUAUUCUGAGGAAUAAAAACCUGCUGCUGGUCUUCUAUCUUUUUCUCUAUCACCGUCUCCUUUAUACUUCCUCUCCAUCCUCCUCUUCUCUUUAAACUGGUGACUGGUCUGCUGAUUGGGAUAUGAGAUAUGAGGGCAU